UACGUAGGGGGCGAGCGUUGUCCGGAUUCAUUGGGCGUAAAGAGCUCGUAGGCGGCUUGACAAGUCGGAUGUGAAAACUCCAGGCUCAACCUGGAGCCGCCAUUCGAUACUGCUAUGGCUAGAGUCCGGUAGGGGAGUGUGGAAUUCCCGGUGUAGCGGUGAAAUGCGCAGAUAUCAGGAGGAACACCGGUGGCGAAGGCGGGUCUCUGGGCCGAUACUGACGCUGAGGAGCGAAAGCGUGGGGAGCGAACAGG
rnacentral:rRNA from 1 species